UUGUUAUAGAGGCAGGGUAACCUGUACCCAAGGCUGCCUUCCAAGUCACUAUGUAACCAACGAUGAUUGGCCUGCCUCCACUCCCCAGUACUGGGGUAAGACAUAUGCAUCAGCACCCCUGGUUCAGAUGGUGCUGGUGCCAGAAUCCAGAGCCUUCUGUGUGCUAGGAAGGGAUGAACUCCUAUGAAACCCUGAGACACGUCGGUCAGUCAACCGGUUUUAGUCUUUGCCAACCAUUAUUGGAGAAGAGAAAAGCUGUGCAAAGUACACAGAGGAAAUUCUGUCUCUAUCUGUCCUCAGCUGGGCCCAGGGUUGUGGCAUCACCGUCAGGUGUUAUGACUGCAUGCAUGUUUGCGCAUCAUGUGUGGUGCAGUACCUGCAGAGGCCAGAAGAGGGAUUCCAGAUGUCCUGGGGCUGGAGUUUAUGGUUGUG